GCCCAGCCGUAAACUUUAACUUACAUUCAAAUCGCCAGGGAACUACGAGCUAAGCUUAAAACCCAAAGGACUUGACGGUACCCCAUAUCCCCCUAGAGGAGCCUGUUCUAUAAUCGAUAAUCCACGUUUAACCUCACCAUUUUUAGUUAAUCAGCCUGUAUACCUCCGUCGUCAGCUUACCACGUGAGCGCCAAUUAGUGAGCUUAAUGUCUUUCACCAACACGUCAGGUCAAGGUGCAGCAAAUGAAAUGGGAAGAGAUGGGCUACACUUUCUAUAUUAGAAAAAACGAAAAACUACUUAUGAAAACUAGUUGGAAGGCGGAUUUAGCAGUAAAAAGGAAUCAGAAUGUCCCUUUUAACCCGGCACUGGGGUGUGUACACACCGCCCGUCACCCUCUUCAAAGCUUAUAACCUAGUUCUUAACAAACUAAAGCAUGACAGAAUAGGCAAGUCGUAACAUGGUAAGUAUACCGGAAGGUGUGCUUGGAAA
rnacentral:rRNA from 1 species